rnacentral:rRNA from 1 species
UACGGAGGGUGCAAGCGUUGCUCGGAAUUAUUGGGCGUAAAGGGCAAGUAGGUGGUCUUAUUUGUCUAGGGUGAAAGCCUUAAGCUUAACUUAAGAAGUGCCCUAGAAACGGUAAGACUAGAGUCCUGGAGAGGGUCGUGGAAUUCCCGGUGUAGCGGUGAAAUGCGUAGAUAUCUGGAGGAACACCGGUGGCGAAGGCGGCAUCCUGGACCGGCAUUGACGCUGAGGAGCGAAAGCCAGGGGAGCAAACGGG